UCAGCUCGUGUCGUGAGAUGUACGGUUAAGUCCGUGAACGAGCGCAACCCUGCCCUUAGUUGCUAAUAUGCGAAAGCAUAUGCACGUCUAAGGGGACCGCCAGCGGAAAGCUGGAGGAAGGUGGGAUGACGUCAAAUCCUCAUGCCUUUAUGUCCAGGGCUACACACAUGCGACAAUGGUCGAGACAACGCGUUGCAAACCAGUAAUGGUAAGCUAAUCGCAUAAAAUCGACCUCAGUACGGAUUGAGGGUUGCAAUUCACCCUCAUGAAGCUGGAGUUGCUAGUAACCGCAGGUCAGCUAUACUGCGAUGAAUACGUUCCCGGGGCUU
rnacentral:rRNA from 1 species